GACGAACGCUGGCGGCGUGCUUAACACAUGCAAGUCGAACGGAAAGGCCCUGCUUUUGUGGGGUGCUCGAGUGGCCAACGGGUGAGUAACACGUGAGUAACCUGCCCUUGACUUUGGGAUAACUUCAGGAAACUGGGGCUAAUACCGGAUAGGAGCUCCUGCUGCAUGGUGUGGGUUGGAAAUUUUCGGCGGUUGGGGAUGGACUCGCGGCUUAUCAGCUUGUUGGUGGGGUAGUGGCUUACCAAGGCUUUGACGGGUAGCCGGCCUGAGAGGGUGACCGGCCACAUUGGGACUGAGAUACGGCCCAGACUCCUACGGGAGGCAGCAGUGGGGAAUAUUGCACAAUGGGCGGAAGCCUGAUGCAGCAACGCCGCGUGCGGGAUGACGGCCUUCGGGUUGUAAACCGCUUUCGCCUGUGACGAAGCGUGAGUGACGGUAAUGGGUAAAGAAGCACCGGCUAACUACGUG
rnacentral:rRNA from 1 species